AAAAAAAAAAAAAAAGAGGAAGUAAGAGUUUCGUAACCACGAUGCUACCACACACCUCUGGCAUUCUCUCUUCGUGAAAGAGAUCCGAAUUCCACGUUAAUUAGCAGGUGGCACUUUAAUAAGGACAAAGAGCGUCUAGCCGUCGAGCCGUGAAACAAUUCGCCUGUUUCGAUACUUCAGAAUGGUGUAGUCAAGUAUAGUACCCUUUUAUGUAUAUUCGUUUCAAUUUGGGCCACCCUGUAUAAAUAUACAGAAUAGAAGAACAUCCGCGUUCCGUUGCAACCAAGCAACCAAAUGACGCUGUUCUGAACAUACGGAUCGAAUCGUAAAGGUACAUCGUGGAAGGAAAUAAAGAAGAAUACAAGAGAGAGAGACAGAACAACACAAAUAAAAAAAAAAAUAGAGAAAGAGAGAGAGAGAGAGAACCGUGACGUGGAAUACAAUGGUUGGCACGAGUUUACCACCGACGGUUUUGCUUUUAUCGCGUUCAUUGCACAGCAAUCUGUUCACUUUUGCUCCUCUCUUUCUCAACGAUUCCCCUUCAAGGAGAGCAAAUGUAAACGGUUAUGUUACUCUAUUUCUAUUUCUCUAUCUCUUUCUCUUUUGUUGAGUUCACCAAAGCCCUCGAAUAAAUGUCCGAGCUUAAGCCAAGUAACGAGGACCAUACUAAAAUAUAUACGACACAUUUCAUUAGAUUAUAGAUUACUUCAUUCUUAUUAUUUGUAUUUUUCAACUCGUCAUGGCAUCGAAAAUGUUUAAGAUUGAAUUAAAGGUAAAGGUAGUCACGUGUGGGUGAAAUUCGAUGAUUAAUUUUCUAUUUGAUUUACUUAAAUACUAUUGGGUUGUGCAAUAAAAGUUAGAGAAUGUUACUUUUUUGUUUUGUUUUAAAUAAAGUAUUUCAUUUGAAUAAAUUGAA